CCCUUAGAUGUUCUGGGCUGCACGCGCGCUACACUGAAGCUAUCAACACGUUUUCCCUCCCUGAGAAGGGCGGGUAACCUUUUGAAUCAGCUUCGUGGUAGGGAUCGGGGCUUGCAAUUGUUCCCCGUGAACCAGGAAUUCCUAGUAGACGCGAGUCAUAAGCUCGCAUCGAUUAAGUCCCUGCCCUUUGUACACACCGCCCGUCGCUACUACCGAUUGAACGUUUUAGUGAGGCAUUUGGACCGAAGCAUCUCAGUUUAACCGCUGGUUUGUGUUGGAAAGACUUCCAAACUUGAGCGUUUAGAGGAAGUAAAAGUCGUAACA
rnacentral:rRNA from 1 species